UGAUGAAGUAGAAUCUAAGAAAAGUGA
rnacentral:piRNA from 1 species